AUUGAACGCUGGCGGCAGGCCUAACACAUGCAAGUCGAGCGGAGCGGCGGACGGGUGAGUCAUGCCUAGGAAUCUGCCUGGUAGUGGGGGAUAACGUCCGGAAACGGGCGCUAAUACCACAUACUAUCAGAUGAGCCUAGGUCGGAUUAGCUAGUUGGGGGGGUAAAGGCCUACCAGGGCGCCGAGCCGUAACUGGUCUGAGAGGAUGAUCAGUCACAAUGGAACUUAGACACGGUAAAGAGUCCGACGGUAGUAAGCAGUGGGGAAUAUGGGACAAUGGGCGAAAGCCUGAUCCAGCCAUGCAGCGUGUGUGAAGAAGGUCUUCGGAUGGGAAAGCACUUUAAGUUGGGAGGCGUUACCAACAGAAUAAGCACCGGCUAACUUCGUGCCAGCAGCCGCGGUAAUAC
rnacentral:rRNA from 1 species